UUACAAAAAUAUUAUUAAUUAACUUAAUAUAAUAUUCAUUAUAAUUAAUAAAAAUAAUUUUAAUUUAAAAAUGUUUUAUUAAUAUUUAUUAAAAAAAUAAUCUUUUUUAUAGAGAAUUAGUAUAGAAUUAGAAAUUUGAAAUAAUUUAAAAUAAGAUAAUUUAAAAGAAAGUUUUAUUUACUGUACCUUGUGUAUCAGGGUUUAUUAAAUAAAAAAUAAUAAUUUAUUUUUCUCGAAUUUAAGAGAUUUAUUUAUAUAUUUAAUUUAUUGUAGCAUAAAUAUUAAUAAUAUAUAAAUAGCAAUGAAAUGUUAUUCGUUCUUAAAUAUAUCUAGUUUUUCAAGAAAUAAAUUUAAUUUAUUUAUUUUAGAUUAACUUUAUAUAUUUAUAUAUAAAGUUAUAUUUUUAAAUGAAAAAUUUUAAAGGGAUAAGCUUUUAAAGUUCUAUUAAUAAAUUAAAAUUAUAAAUUUAAAUAAAUAUAAGCUUAUAAAUAGUUAAUAUUAAAAAUUAUGUAAUAAUUUAUUAUAAAGUUUAAUUAAUUAUUUAAUAAAUUUUUAUUAUUUAUUGAAAAAUUAAUUUUAAUAACAAAAAUUAAACUAUAAUGAUAAAAUUAGUAUAUUUAAUUUAAAUUAAAAAUGAAUUAUAAAUUGAAAUUAUUUAUAAUAACUCGGCAAAAAUAUUUUCAUCUGUUUAUCAAAAACAUUUCUUUUAGAAAUUAAUUUAAAGUAUAACCUGCCCAUUGAAAAUUUUAAAAGGCUGCGGUAUUUUGACCGUACAAAGGUAGCAUAAUCAUUAGUUUCUUAAUUGGAAACUCGUAUGAAUGGUUGAAUGAGAAAUAAACUUUUUUAAAUUAAAAAAUGAAUUUUACAUUUUAGUUAAAAGGCUAAAAUUAACUUAAAAGACGAGAAGACCCUAUAGAGUUUUAUAUUUAAUAAGUUAUAUUAUAUAAAAAAAAUUAUAAAAAUUAUAACAAUUUUAAUUAUUUUAUUGGGGUGAUAAUAAAAUUUAAUAAACUUUUAUUUAUUAUAUACAUUAAUCUAUGAAUAUUUGAUCCAUUAUUAAUGAUUAUAAAAUUAAAUUACCUUAGGGAUAACAGCGUAAUUUUUUUUUUAAGUUCAUAUUAAUAAAAAAUUUUGCGACCUCGAUGUUGGAUUAAGAUUUAAUUUUAGGUGCAGAAGUUUAAAAUUUAAGUCUGUUCGACUUUUAAAUUCUUACAUGAUCUGAGUUCAAACCGGUGUAAGCCAGGUUGGUUUCUAUCUUUAAAAAAAUAUUAUAUUUUAGUACGAAAGGAUUAAAUAUUUUAUAAAUUAUAAUUCUACUGAAUUAAAUUAAUAUAUAUAUAUAUAUAUAAAUAAAAUUUAA
rnacentral:rRNA from 1 species